rnacentral:tRNA from 1 species
GCACCGUUCGUCUAGAUGGUUAAGACCUCUGCCUUCCAAGCAGAUGACGCCGGUUCGAAUCCGGCGCGGUGCUCCA